rnacentral:rRNA from 1 species
AUGGCGGCCUCGAUGAUGCUGCUCCUCCGCGCCGCGCGCCGCCGCGACCUCGCCUCGCCGCUCGCCACCCUGACCGCCAACGUCCAAUCAACAUAUGCUGCUGCAAAUGUGUGCUCCAGAUGGGGUAGUUUUGCAAGAGCUUUCAGUGCAAAGCCAAUUGGAAAUGAGGUUAUUGGAAUUGAUUUGGGAACGACCAAUUCAUGUGUCGCGGUUAUGGAGGGAAAGAAUGCAAAGGUGAUUGAGAAUUCGGAAGGCGCCAGGACUACACCGUCAGUUGUUGCCUUUUCUCAGAAAGGAGAGCUACUUGUGGGAACUCCAGCCAAGCGUCAAGCAGUGACCAACCCGCAGAACACCUUCUUUGGCACAAAGCGUAUGAUUGGGCGGCGCUUCGAUGACCCGCAGACACAGAAGGAGAUGAACAUGGUACCAUAUAAGAUCGUGAAGGCUCCGAAUGGAGACGCUUGGGUUGAGACCACAGACGGCAAGCAGUACUCGCCGAGCCAGAUUGGUGGGUUUGUGCUGACCAAGAUGAAGGAGACAGCUGAAGCUUACCUUGGCAAGUCUAUUUCCAAGGCUGUCAUUACCGUUCCAGCUUACUUCAAUGAUGCUCAGAGGCAGGCCACCAAGGAUGCUGGCCGUAUUGCUGGACUUGAUGUCCAAAGGAUCAUCAAUGAACCAACUGCUGCUGCUCUGUCUUACGGAACAAACAACAAGGAGGGCCUGAUUGCUGUAUUUGACCUUGGAGGAGGGACCUUUGAUGUCUCGAUUCUAGAGAUCUCCAAUGGAGUGUUUGAGGUCAAAGCAACGAACGGCGACACUUUCCUGGGUGGAGAAGACUUUGACAAUACUCUGUUGGAGUUCUUAGUGAGGGAGUACAAAAACACUGAAAAUAUUGAUCUGUCAAAGGAUAGGUUGGCUCUGCAGAGACUGCGUGAAGCAGCUGAGAAGGCGAAAAUCGAACUCUCCUCGACUACCCAGACUGAAAUCAAUCUUCCCUUCAUCACUGCUGAUGCCGGUGGAGCAAAACAUCUGAACAUCACACUGACAAGAUCAAAGUUCGAGUCUCUGGUGAACAGUCUGAUUGAGAGGACCAGAGAGCCAUGCAAGAGCUGCUUGAAGGAUGCCGGCAUAACCACCAAGGAUGUUGAUGAGGUCCUUCUCGUCGGUGGAAUGACAAGGGUUCCAAAAGUGCAGGAGAUAGUCUCUGAGAUCUUCGGCAAGGCCCCUAGCAAAGGAGUCAACCCGGAUGAAGCUGUGGCCAUGGGUGCUGCUAUCCAGGGUGGCAUUCUCCGUGGAGAUGUGAAGGAGCUUCUUCUCCUUGAUGUUACCCCUCUGUCACUUGGUAUCGAGACUCUUGGCGGCAUCUUCACCAGACUGAUUUCCAGGAACACUACAAUCCCCACCAAGAAAAGCCAGGUGUUCUCAACCGCUGCUGACAACCAGACGCAAGUGGGCAUCAAGGUGCUGCAAGGCGAGCGCGAGAUGGCAACAGACAACAAGCUCCUGGGCGAGUUCGACCUGGUGGGCAUCCCGCCGGCGCCGAGGGGCACGCCGCAGGUGGAGGUGACGUUCGACAUCGACGCGAACGGCAUCGUGACGGUGUCGGCCAAGGACAAGGCGACGGGCAAGGAGCAGCAGAUCACCAUCCGGUCGUCGGGCGGGCUGUCGGAGGCGGAGAUCCAGAAGAUGGUGCAGGAGGCGGAGGUGCACUCGCACAAGGACCAGGAGCGCAAGGCCCUGAUCGACGUGCGGAACGCCGCGGACACCACCGUCUACAGCGUGGAGAAGAGCCUGGGCGAGUACCGGGACAAGGUCCCCGCAGAGGUGGUGUCGGAGAUCGAGGCGGCCGUCGCGGAGCUCCGCGCCGAGAUGGCCUCGGACGACGCCGAGAAGAUCAAGGCCAAGAUCGACGCGGCCAACAGGGCCGUGUCCAAGAUCGGGCAGCACAUGUCUGGCGGCGGUGAGCCGGGGUCGCAGGGUGGUGGUGGUGGUGGCGAGGCGCCGGAGGCGGAGUACGAGGAGGUGAAGAAGUGA